AGGGAGGGAGAAGGAAGAAAAGAAAGGAAGAAAGAAGGGAAGGAAGAGGGCAAGAGACAAGAAUGUGUACUUCCAAAGAGCCCAUCUAAGGUAAUUCUCUGUGGACAAAUGGGACCCACAGUUGGGACACCAUCCUCUGGAUUCUGAAUAUACCCAUGAUUGGCUCCAAGAAAGACUGGUUCUUUCUGGUGAUGAGCCGGGUCCUUCUAGAUACAGUGGGUCAUAAAGGCAGUUCUACAAACGUAAAUUCAAUCUCAUUGUUAAACUCUUCAGAACACUUCAAUGCCCCUAUCUCACAUGAUCUAUAGGAGAAAAUCCAAAAUGUGAAAGAGCAUUAUGAGGUCAAGACUUGGAGAAUGUUGAAAAUAUCCCAAGACCCUGGCAUACUUCCCCACUUCUCCCCUCCAGACAGCUUAUAAAUAGCAGCUACUAUUGCGGUGGGUGCAAGGCGGUAACAGCACCCACUUUUACUUGAGGAACCCUCUCCCGCAUCGGAGACCGGUUGGUGGCACUGUCAGUCAAGAGGGUCUGCCCGCCCAGAUGCUGGUCAUGUGACCCAGGCUAGGCCAAUCAGAUUCCCUCUCCCCGGAACGAGCCCAAAGGGGAUCCUGCAGAGAAGAAAAAAUUGUAAAAGUGCCUUGAAGAGUUUUGUCAGUUCCUGUUGCCUAGAUCUUUGGAGCAGCUCUUUCUAAAGGUACCUAGUUAAGAGAAAUAAAAGUAUGUGUCCACACAAAGACGUCUAUGCAAGUGUAACAGCCCAAAACUGGACAACCCGAGUAUCCGUCAACUGGUAAAUGCGUAAAAUAGGCAUUAAAAGGGAACAAACUGGAUGCGUGCAACAACAGGGACAGAUCUCAGGAUCACUAUGCUAAGUGAAAGAAGCCGGACAUAGAAGACUACGUGUUAUGUGAUUCGGGUGACAGGAGAUUUCAAGAAAAGAGUGUAGAGAUGGAAACGCAUUGGUGGUCGCCUACAGCUGGAGGUGGGGGAAGGCAUCAACCACAAAUGGGAAUGAGGAAACUCUGGGGAGUGAUGGAAGUAUUCUAAAACUGGAUUGAGGAGGUAAUUGCACAAUUAUAUAAAUUAAAACUAAAAACUCAUCGAACUGUACAUUUAAAAUGGGUGGAUUUCAAUGCAUAUAAAUUGUGCCUCAAUAAAGCUUUUAAAAAUAAACAAUAAACUAUGAAAGAAAAGAAAGAAGGAACAGAAAACCAAUGCUGUUAGCUGGGUUUAGAGAGAAAAACACAAACACGUAUUAUCCCAUUUUAUGCAUUAGGACAGUGAGAAAUAAUGAUGUGCCUGAUGUCACACAGCUAGUAAGUGACAAAACCCAGAUGCGAACCUCAACUCUUUGACCCCAAACCCAUGCUGCUGACCCCUCCGCUAAGCGAACUUUCUUCCCUGUUGUGCGAACUGCCUCCAGCCCACGCCACUGUGUACGGGGCUAGCAUGAGGGACUCUGCUCACAUCACUACGUGACCAGAAUGCUCAUCUGGAUGACAUGUAAGCAAGAGAUACUCGGAGGCCUGCUGUCCUCGGACGGUUCAGUUAAGUUGUGGUUGUUACUCUUCUUUGAGCUCGGUGUGCUCAGCUUCAUUUGGUGCUUUUUGUAUAUUGCUCAUCUGGCAGAGAAUUACUACUCUACUCUACAAGUUCCCACAGAUGGCUUUAUUUGCCAUUGCUAUUAAAUUGGUUUUGAACAAGACAUAAUUCUUCAAGUGCCUAGUGAGCUCUCUGGGUUUGCUCAGGCAAGAUUCCAUAAAAAUGUAAAUAAUCGGAACACUUCUGGGAUUAUUUAUCACAACUGACUUGCGGCUGUAAAUUUAUGUAUUAAUUUCAGCUAUAAGUUUCAGUGGGGAAAAUAUGAACAGUUGAAAAUAGACUCUCCCACCUAACAUCUUCUCUAUGUCCCCAUUUCCCUUUGGCUUCCAGAGAACAUACUAUAGAAUGGCCAACAGAUCUGGGUGUGAAAGACACUGGACAAGAUCAGAAAGAAAUGAGGUGGCAAGCAGGAAAAAAAUCGUUCCUCAACAAGCCAUAGGCUGGUCUCUUACCACUCCCCCUACUCUUGGAACUCCAGACACACCAGCCUUCUUUCAGUUCCUCCUGGUGAUUCCUGCCUCAGGACCUUGCACAUGCUCCCUUGGCUUACAACGUUCUUUCCUCCCUUUUUAGCCAGGUUCAGCUAUACUCAUCCUUCAGCUCUUGGCUCGGCAUCACUUGUUAUGAAAAGCUUUCCAUGCCCACCUGUCCACCACGUCAGGUCUGCUCUGGUGGUAGCUGGUCCUUCUCAUCCACAACACUGAACACAAUUGUAAUUUCUCAUUUUUGUAGGCAUUUUGUAGGCAUUUUUAAACAUUAAGUCUGUCUUUCCUACUCAGCUUUGAACUUCAUGAGGGCUAGGCCCAUGUCCUUUGUCACCUGCAUCCCCAGAGCCUGGCAUAGAUUUGAAGAUGAAUGAGUAUGUGUUUAGUGAAUUGAUGAGUCCAGUUAAGAGUAGGAGAACAUAGCUGGGCUUCCGGGGCUCUGCACAUACACUCAGAUCUGUCGCUGCUGUUAGCACACAAGCACAGGUGUGCACAGGUGUGCAGCUCAGCCAGCACCCAUAUGUCCUGUCAGAGGACUGCUCUCACUUUGCCUGGGUAUGCCAACAGCACGAAGUAUCUAGGAAUUCCCAUUCCCUUUAAAGAAUUCCCUUUAGCCCUUAACCAAUUAGUGACAGGUACAGGUGUAUAAACUCACCAGCCCUUGUCUUUGUGAGGCGUGACCUGUAUAGCUGCUGGAGCUCCCCUGUGGGACUGAGCCAUGCGGACCUUCCAUGGGACCUUGCUUGAUGAUAUCACACUCUUCUUGCCUCUUCCAGUCCCCACCCCAUGUCUCUACUUCUCUACCCGUGUCCCCUGAGAAGUCCUAAUAAAUGACUCUACACAAUCUGCAUCACAGGGGCUGCUUCUGGGGAGCACAACCUAAAACAGAGAGCCUGCUGCUGGAAAAGUUUCCCGCUGAGCUGUGAUUAAUACCAUAAAUUUUGGUGCAUGAAAGCACUCCAGCCAGACCAUUUGCUGGUUCAGACGAGGUUAGGUCCUGCCAGUAACUCUCUAAACUGGCAAGAGCACCCUGUCUAUAAAGAGAGAGCACUAAACCCCCCCACUUUCCAAUCUUCGCCCCAUGACCCAGUGCCCUGCAAAAGGAGUCAAGAGGCUGUGCCUCUGGCAUCCCAACCAAACUGGACAUGGAAGUCUGCUGGCAAGACUGUCUUGAGGCUCGCUGUGGCUGCUGCAUGGAGAAAUGGAUGCAGGGCUGCACAAGGACCAAUGAGAGGAGAGGCACAGAGACAGUCAGGAACCCAGUCCGGCCACCACAAGUGACACAAUGAUGGUCCCCAUCAGGGCAGUGGGGAUGCAGAUAGGAGAAGGCUGCAAGACAGAGCUCAGACACUGAUGUAUUGGCUCUGAAACAAAUCAGAUAAAAUAAUUUGGACAUCUUAAUGCCAGAGGCCCUUCCAUCAAAUAACAGCCAGCUUUUCAGAGACCACACGUUGGCUCCUGACAGUGACAAAAUUGGUGUCGCCACAGAAGUCCCAGAGCAGAGACUUGGGUAUGUUCCAGUAGAGCAGAGAGGAGAAGGAAAAUGUAUGUUCCUUCCCAAAUAUCCAGCAACAAAUGACUGCCGAGUGAGAAAGAAAUUUAGCCAAAGUGCAGAAGGAUGGUCUGGCCACACUGCGGACCCUUGAGAAGUGAGAUGUUAUUUAUGGAGACAGUGACUUAUUCUCCUAAACAACCAUAAUGUCCUGACCUGUCUGAUUUCCGUGAAAACCUCUAGUUCAACUUCCAAUUUGAAGUUACAAAAAUGAGCAUGGGUCCUUCAGGAAUUCAGAUUUGAUGUGAAGUAUAUCCAAAGACCUGCCAACAGAUGUUACAGCAUCUUGGAAACGUUCAAGACUCGUGCCUGCUGACAGAAGCGUUAAGUAGAAUCACUGUUCUGAUUUUUUUUAAGCUAGGAUGGGGGAUUGUGCUUGUCCUGGGGUGACCUUCAGGAGUCUCCUCUGUUCCUCACAAGAAACAACAAUCACAGUGAUGAUGCUAAAAACAGAACACAACAAAGCUCCCACUUCACUUACAUGUACAAUAAUCCUAUAGACUUAUGACCCCCAUUGUUAGAUAUGAAGAAAGUGAAUCUCAAGAAGUAACAUAAUUUACCAGUGUCAUACAAGGAAGCAGCAGAGAUGGGUCUAAUACAAAAUCAAAAUCUGAACUGUGGAUCUGCAAACAAUGGCCUGAGGGCAAAACCCCAGCUACCACUUGUUUUUGUCAAUAAAGUUUUAUUGGAACAUA